rnacentral:rRNA from 1 species
UGGACAGCCUUCUGAAAGGAAGAUUAAUACAAGAUGGCAUCAUGAGUCCGCAUGUUCACAUGAUUAAAGGUAUUCCGGUAGACGAUGGGGAUGCGUUCCAUUAGAUAGUAGGCGGGGUAACGGCCCACCUAGUCUUCGAUGGAUAGGGGUUCUGAGAGGAAGGUCCCCCACAUUGGAACUGAGACACGGUCCAAACUCCUACGGGAGGCAGCAGUGAGGAAUAUUGGUCAAUGGGCGAGAGCCUGAACCAGCCAAGUAGCGUGAAGGAUGACUGCCCUAUGGGUUGUAAACUUCUUUUAUAAAGGAAUAAAGUCGGGUAUGCAUACCCGUUUGCAUGUACUUUAUGAAUAAGGAUCGGCUAACUCCGUGCCAGCAGCCGCGGUAAUACGGAGGAUCCGAGCGUUAUCCGGAUUUAUUGGGUUUAAAGGGAGCGUAGAUGGAUGUUUAAGUCAGUUGUGAAAGUUUGCGGCUCAACCGUAAAAUUGCAGUUGAUACUGGAUAUCUUGAGUGCAGUUGAGGCAGGCGGAAUUCGUGGUGUAGCGGUGAAAUGCUUAGAUAUCACGAAGAACUCCGAUUGCGAAGGCAGCCUGCUAAGCUGCAACUGACAUUGAGGCUCGAAAGUGUGGGUAUCAAACAGGAUUAGAUACCCUGGUAGUCCACACGGUAAACGAAGAAUACUCGCUGUUUGCGAUAUACUGCAAGCGGCCAAG